AUGGUUAAAAACACUGGAAGAGAACUUCAAGAGUUUGAUUCCAAGUUUCUCCAUUUGUGUAAGCUGCAGAGUAGUCAUUGGCUUUCCCCUAUUAGAGAGUUGGCUUCCAUCACAUUUAGUCUAAAUCCCUGCAGACUUCUAGUUCCAAGCAUCUUAUAAAUACUACACUAAUGAAUUCUGCAACUCCAUUUCUUUUCAGUAUUUCUGUUUAAACUAUACUAAAUUCUUACCACUUAGCUUGUUACAAUAUGCCUGUAAGAUGAUUUAACUAGAUUGGUUUUCAAAAAUAAACUAAAUUUGAACCCUCA
rnacentral:lncRNA from 13 species